ensembl:lncRNA
CACAAAGAGACCCCAGGAUAGGAAGCAACAUUGUAUUAAGCAACAUUGUUUUCUUCUCUCUUUCCCUUCAGCAUUCAGUGUGGGAUCAGUGUAAGCCAGCAUUGAUUUAAGAAUAGCAAGAAACCCCAUAGCCAAAUAUGUGGACACAGAAGCUUUCCUUUGCCUUUUUGUUUGUAAGCUGCUGUAGGCUCAGCUGCCUGUCCAGGAAGUGCCACUUUGUAGUACAAUAGAGACAGAGCUGCCAGAAAGCAGCAUAGAUUCUCAAGGUUCAGCUAUGUCCUAAUGGGAAUUACUAAUAAACAAAAGAAGAUACAUUUUCUUUCAGGUAAGCUUGCUUGACAAUUCUAUAUAAAUACGGGUUAAAAUAGAGCAUGGAUGUUAAAACGAGUCUUGAAAGAAAUACAUGAUAUUUAUUUAUUCAUUCAUUUAGAUUUUUUUGUUUGUUUGUUUGUUUUGAGACAGGGUUUCUCAGUGUAGCCCUGCUUAUGUGGGAACUGGCUUCGACUCACAGAGAUCCAACUUUCUCUGCUUCUCAAGUGCUAGGAUUAAAGGCAUACACCCGGAAGAAUCACUUGUGUGUAUGCAACAAAAGCCCUUCGAAUGAACACCCUCUUAGCACUGAACAACAAAGAGGAAAGUAGGCUAUUACCUGUUCCUGGUUGCCAAGCACAAUGUCCCUGCCUGGGCUGAGUCACUCAGGAGAGAUUUGAAGUGGAGCUGUUACUAAGACAACAGAAUUACACAUCCAUUUCCUCUGUGAGGCCCCUUUUCUUCAUACACUCACAUCAAGUAAGAAAGGGAGGGCUCUGGGAUAAAAAUACCAGCAACAAACAAAGAAACAAGGUAAAGAUGCUUUCCGACAUUUCAGUAAUGGCGGGAUUGUUUUAGGAAACCAUUUAAAGAGCAAAAAUAUAACGUUAGAGUGAGUUCUUCAUAACAUAAUAACUGACAUAUAUUGACAUACGAUAGCAAAAUAUAAGAUCAGAUAAUGUCAAAAGUAAGACAGUAUAAAUGUAGAAGAUUCAUCAGAAUCUCUCAUCAGGGAAAAGUGAUGUCUGGGCCCUGUCCCCAGAGAUACUUACUAAGUACGUUUGUGAUAUGGCCAUGGAAUAAGCAGCAGUUUAAAGUUCAAUAUGUGAAAAGCCAAAAUGGAAGGUGCCAUCUAGAGGCAAAACCAGCCUUUAUGUAAGUUGUGGGGUAUCCACUAGAGAAGACUGCUCAGAUGUGAGUUUAAGCCAAUAGAAAGUCUUUAUUAGCAAGCCGGCAACUACACUGUAUGUUUGGGAUCCCAAUGUAGCCACUCAUAUCCUGGGUUAACAUAUUUCAGCUAACAAGAACAGUUAACCAGAGGUUGAACUAUAGAAGCCAAAAAUAAGGUUAGUAUAUUUGGAAACUUUCCCAGAACUAUGGACUCUGAUGGAUUAGGCCUUUGUUUUAGUUUUGGCAGUAGUCCUGUGUUUGUACUGAUUUUUAUAGUCUGAAUGCUACUUCUAUCAUGGAGUCAGUUGUGCUAAGGUCUGAAGGCCUACCCAAGUCUGGGGCCCUGUUACAUUCCCCACUGGUCUUACUGAAUGAAUUAAAUUGUGGGUUCAUCCUACUUUAAAAAU